rnacentral:lncRNA from 1 species
AUGUUAAACCAACGUGCAAGAAGUCAGCGGCUCCUGGCUCCCCGCGGCUCGGCUCCCCGUGCAGCCUCCGCUCGGCACCGACAAAGCGGGGCCGCAAUCGCCGCCCCCCGGCGGGAGCCACCCCGAGGCCUCUCGGCGGAGCGCAGCGGCUUUGUGCCGGUGGCGGGGCCGGCCCGGCUGCCAGCCGCCCGUCUCCUCGGAUGCCGCCCGUCCCCCUUUCCUGCGGCACCGGCCCUUUUCUCCCUGCCCUGUUUUUCUCGCCACAAAAGCCGCGUUCUCCUCCCCGCCCGCCGCCUCCACCGCCUUGUCACCGCCGCGGAGAGGCACAGCCCGGAGCCGCCCGGCACUGCCGCCCGCACUUACCCCAUGGCCGCGGCCGCCGCGCCUCCAUCCCGCCGCCCGCUCCCGGCCCGGCCCGGCCGCCCCGCUCCGCCCGCGCCCAGCUGCUGCGCCAGCGCCGCGGCCGCUACGGCCCCGCCGGUCACGUGCUGCCCGGCGCGGCGGCGCGGCCAAUGGCGGGGAGCGCUCCGAGGAUGUGCCCGCCCCGCCCGCCGCCUCCGCGGGGAACAGCUGCGACCCGCCCCGACCGCCGCCCAACGCCGCCAGCAGGGCCGGGCCGCGGGGAGCGGGGCGGACGGGGCGGCCUCUACGGAUCCACGGCAAGGGCACCUUCCCGCAGCGGGCCCGGCCCCGCCGCAGCGCUGCGUAACGCCGCUUUUGUUAGCGCCGCAACGCGGUGCCGGGCGGACGCACGCCUCGCUCGGCUGCAGAUGCGCCGCUCGCCGCAGGCAGCACGCAGGAAGGAAGGCAGACUCUGCGGCCACCGCUGGCCCUUCUCCCAGCACAGGGCACUGCACGGCCCGCACUGCUGCUCAGCACACCGACCGCUCCACUCACGUAGCGCCGCACUCGUACCGCAGCCGGAGCCAACGCACCGGCGCGUACAGAGCCGCUCGAUGUAGGGCACCGCACGCACAGCUGCUACGGCUGCCUCCGAUCUGUGUGUGA